rnacentral:rRNA from 1 species
AACGAACGCUGGCGGCAUGCCUAACACAUGCAAGUCGAACGAGACCUUCGGGUCUAGUGGCGCACGGGUGCGUAACGCGUGGGAAUCUGCCCUUGGGUUCGGAAUAACAGCGAGAAAUUGCUGCUAAUACCGGAUGAUGACGUAAGUCCAAAGAUUUAUCGCCCAAGGAUGAGCCCGCGUAGGAUUAGCUAGUUGGCGAGGUAAUAGCUCACCAAGGCGAAGACGGGUAGCUGGUCUGAGAGGAUGAUCAGUCACACUGGAACUGAGACACGGUCCAGACUCCUACGGGAGGCAGCAGUGGGGAAUAUUGCGCAAUGGGCGAAAGCCUGACGCAGCCACGCCGCGUGAGCGAUGGAAGGCCGUUCGGGUCGUAAGCUCUGUGGGAGAGACGAAG